rnacentral:misc_RNA from 1 species
GUUGUAAAUCUUGAAUCGGAUCGGAGAUAUGGCUCAGAGGACCGAGAAGGAGGAGACGGAGUUGAAGGUACCGGAGACCAUCACGUUGUGCGUCAACAACUGCGGAUUCACCGGUAAUCCGACCACCAAUAACAUGUGCCAGAAGUGCUUUAACGCUACAACGGCGACAGCAACUACCACCGCCACCUCGUCUUCAAAUAAUGGAAUAUCCGCGUCUCGGAAGUUGUCCGGUGAGAAAAGCUCGAGAUCUAGAUCUCGAUCGCCUGUACUAAUGGAUUCCGUUCGUGACAGUAGCAGGAAUAUGUCCAUGGAUCGGUUCAAAUCUGAGGAAUCUGCCAAGCGUCAGGUGAAUCGAUGCUCCGGAUGCAGAAAGAGAGUCGGAUUGACCGGAUUCCGGUGCCGAUGUGGGGAGCUGUUUUGCGCUGAGCACCGGUACUCCGAUCGCCAUGAUUGCAGCUUCGAUUACAAGGCCGCCGGUCGUGAUGCGAUAGCAAGGGAAAAUCCAGUCGUCAAAGCGCCGAAGAUCGUUAGAGUCUGAU